AAGUGAAGGAAGAUCUUAUAAUUUAAUAAAAAAACAAGCUCAACUGUACUAAAAAAUUUAAAGUGAAAAUAUUUAAGUGGAACAUAUUAAAGAUACAAAGUGCCUAAUUGUUAUUUUAAAAUAAAGUGUUUUAAAAAAUAUUGUAUUGAGACGUGUUUUAAAUAAUUAUAUGGAAAUGGAGUGUUUUAAGUGUAAUAAAAUGUUUUGUGACAACAAAAAGUAUUUUAGGCAUCUCAGAACCACCCAUUUCCUAAAAAUGAAUGAUUCCUACCGCUGUUGUGGACACAGUUAUAAGGAUUCAUCCACAUUUCAAAGACACGUCAAAAAGAAGCAUAAUUUAUACAACAGUAUUAAUAAUAUGGAACACAAUUAAUAAUAUGGAAAUGAGUUUCGAUUGCCAAAUUCCUGAAGAAAAUAAUGAAUUUCAUAAAUCUAAUGAACAAAAUAAUGGUAUUCAUUCAUCGUCAUCUAAAUCAAAUUUUGAAAAAAGUGUAAAAUUCGAUGAACUUUUCAUAAACUUUAUGAAAUUUCAGACAAAUAUGCAUUCAAAGAAUAAUUUUUGUAGAAAAGACGUGCAUUUUAUUAACAAAAAUAUUAUUGAUUAUGUUUAUGAACCACUGUUGGAUAUAUUACGCUCAACAAAACAACAAAACAAAUCUUUGAUCAGGAAGUUGAGCUUCCCACAACUUCAAAAUCUAUAUCGAAUUUCGAAUUUAUUCCAGAAGAAGGAGGACAAAUUAUUGCUCAAAGUCUUUUUCACGACAACCUCUCUGCAGAUGAACACGAGUCAGCAUGGAGUGCAUGCAGCAACUAUAGACUCCAACAAAUUUUCAAGUGCGGUAACCUUUGUGAGAUUUUUAAAAUUUGGCCCCAAUACAAAAACCCAAACGGAUUCAAAUUGAUUGAUAAAGACUUUGCUUUUAUUUAUGGAUCUCAUGAUUCCAUUCUAAGCUGGGGAAGUGAAAAAAAUAUGAAAUUGUAUAUUGGCCUUUCUAAGCUGAAUAAUGGGAAAAACAUUGAUAAAAAUAAGAAUUUGGAAAACAUUAAUAUUGAUGAUGCUAAAAAAGAUCCUGAUAUGUUUGCCCUUAAAGUGUUAUGGGUAUUACACUAUUGGCUUAGCCCAACUGGAAAAUACAUGCGGAAAAAUGUGUUCGGUAAAAAAGAGAUGUCACGCUUCACUACCAAAGACUCGCAGGAGACAUUUCUUUUCAUGGGAAGUACCAUGCAAGCAG